rnacentral:rRNA from 1 species
GAUGAACGCUGGCGGCGUGCCUAAUACAUGCAAGUCGAGCGAACGGACGAUAAGCUCGCUUUUCUGAUGUUAGCGGCGGACGGGCGAGUAACACGUGGAUAACCUACCUAUAAUACUGGGGUAACUUCGGGAAACCGGAUCCACUACUGGAUCAUAUUUUCAACCGCAUGGUUCAAAAGAGCUAGACGGUUUUGCCGUCACUUUUAGAUGGAUCCGUGCUGCAUUAGCUAGUUGGUAAGGUAACGGCUUACCAAGGCAACGAUGCGUAGCCGACCUGAGAGGGUGAUCGGCCACACUGGAACUGAGACACGGUCCAGACUCCUACGGGAGGCAGCAGUAGGGAAUCUUCCGCAAUGGGCGCAAGCCUGACGGAGCAACGCCGCGUGAGUGAUGAAGGUCUUCGGAUCGUAAAACUCUGUUAUUAGGGAAGAACAUAUGUGUAAGUAACUGUGCACGUCCUGACGGUACCUAAUCAGAAAGCCACGGCUAACUUCGUG